ACCCGCACAAGCGGUGGAUGAUGUGGAUUAAUUCGAUGCAACGCGAAAACCUUACUACCCUUGACAUGUCCGGAAUCCCGAAGAGAUUUGGGAGUGCUCGCAAGAGAACCGGAACACAGGUGCUGCAUGGCUGUCGUCAGCUCGUGUCGUGAGAUGUUGGGUUAAGUCCCGCAACGAGCGCAACCCUUGUCAUUAGUUGCCAUCAUUUGGUUGGGCACUCUAAUGAGACUGCCGGUGCCAAACCGGAGGAAGGUGGGGAUGACGUCAAGUCCUCAUGGCCCUUAUGGGUAGGGCUUCACACGUCAUACAAUGGUCGGUACAAAGGGUUGCCAAGCCGCGAGGUGGAGCUAAUCCCAUAAAACCGAUCGUAGUCCGGAUCGCAGUCUGCAACUCGACUGCGUGAAGUCGGAAUCGCUAGUAAUCGUGAAUCAGAAUGUCACGGUGAAUACGUUCCCGGGCCUU
rnacentral:rRNA from 1 species